GGUCAUGACCCCAACGAAAAUGUGACGUUUCCCGUUCCGUUGAAUCGACACGCCGCAAGAAAUCGACUCCUGAAAUUCCUGCUCUGAACCCUUAGCUGAGCUAAACAGACAAACUAGAAGUGCUUUUUUGGGUAAUUCCUGACGAUUUAGGGAUGUACUGACGGACGGAGACGAUGAAGAUAAAAGUAUAGCAAUAAGAUGUGCCUGGCCUGCCGGAGGGCAGCAACAGAAGACAGUGAAACUACAGCGGAGGGCAGCAACAGAGGACGGUGAAACUACCGUGGAGGGGAGCAACAGAAGACCUUCUCAUGGCCUGCCAGUCUGUCUCCAUCAUCAACAUGGACGAGCAGGCCCUGCUGGGGCUCAACCCUAACGCAGAUGCCUGCUAUAGGCAGAAGGCAAUGGUGUAUUUUGAGCAGUUGAAGGAGUCCCAGGAUGCCUGGGAGGUGUGUGCAGAGGCCCUGGCUAAAGGCAUUUACAGUGACGACCAUGUGAAGUUCUUCUGUUUCCAAGUCCUGGAGCACCAGAUCAAGUACAGACAUGGAGGGCUCAGUCCUGCCCAGCAACAGCUGAUCAGAGAAACCCUGAUGAAGUGGCUGCAGGGUCAGUUAAUGAACUCUCAACCAGAGAAGCCGUUCAUCCGUAACAAGGCAGCCCAGGUGUUUGCUCUGACCUUCGUGAUGGAGUACCUGACCCACUGGCCCAAGUUCUUCUUCGACCUGCUGUCUCUAGUGGGCCUGAACCCACAUGGGGUCGACGUCUACCUCAGAACACUGAUGGCUAUCGACGCUGAGGUGGUGGACAGAGACAUCCUGCACUCCCCUGAGGAGGUUCGUAGGAACACAUUAAUAAAAGAUGGUAUGAGGGAGCAGGUCAUCCCCAGCCUGGUUGAGUCCUGGUACCAGAUCCUCGGGGCCUAUCAGCAGUCUCACCCUGAGAUCACCUGUCAAUGUCUGGAGGUAGUGGGGGCAUACGUCUCCUGGAUAGACCUCAACCUCAUUGCCAACGACAGGUUUGUGAACCUGCUGCUGAGCCAGAUGUCUGUGGAGGACCUGAGAGAGGAGGCGUGUGACUGUCUGUUUGAGAUUGUCAAUAAAGGAAUGGACCCGACAGACAAGACCAAGCUGGUCGAGUCCCUCUGUCAGGUCCUGCAGUCGGCUGGCUUCUUCAACGUGGACCAGGAGGAGGAUGUGGACUUCCUGGCUAAGUUCUCCAGACUGGUGAACGGGAUGGGCCAGUCUCUGGUGCUGAGCUGGACCAAACUGGCCAAGGGGGGCGACGUGAAGGCAGCCGCCGAGGCGCUGCGUGCCCUCGAGACCAAGGUUCCUCUGCUCCUCCAGCUGCUGGUCCACGACGACGACGACAUCUCAGCCAACAUCGUCGGCUUCUGCUACGACUACCUGAACGUACUCAAACAGGGGUCCGAGUGGCAGAGUCACAUGCCUCAGGUAGGGAGAGGAGGACAGGAGGCCAUUGAAGAGUACUGGGACUCAGACAAGUUCCCGCUGCUGACAGACCAACAGAAGACUCACGUUGAGGACGUCAUGCUGGCCGUCAUGAAGAAACUAACUUAUGAUGAAGAGUACAACUUUGACAACGAGGGGGAGGAUGAAGCGAUGUUUGUAGAGUACAGGAAACAGUUGAAGAUGCUGUUGGACCGCCUGGCUCAGGUGUCUCCUGACCUGCUCCUGGAAGCUGUAGGCAGAGUCUUCAACAACACCAUACAGCGUUGGCAGACGGCAUCCUUCAUGGAGGUGGAGGUGGCCAUCAGGCUGCUGUACAUGCUAGGAGAGGCUCUGCCUGCGUCUCACGGAGCUCACUUCUCUGGCGACACGGCCAAGACCUCCGCCCUGCAGGAUAUGAUGAGAACUCUGGUCUCCUCUGGUCUCAGUGGUUACCAACACACGUCUGUGUCGCUGGAGUUCUUCGAGACGGUGGUUCGUUACGACAAGUUCUUCCUGGUUGAACCGCAGCACAUUCCUAAUGUCCUGAUGUCCUUUCUGGACCAUCGGGGUCUGAGACACAGCAGUCCUAAGGUCCGUAGCAGAGUGGCCUACCUCUUCUCGCGGUUCGUCAAGACACUGCAUAAACACAUGAACUCCUUCAUUGAAGACAUCCUGUCCAGGAUACAGGACCUGCUGGAGCUAGCACCUCCUGAGAACGGUUUCCCUGCGCUGCUGACCAGCGAUGACCAGCUGUUUAUAUUUGAGACGGCGGGGGUGUUGAUCGUCCACGGAGAGAGUCCCGCCGAGAGGAAGCAGGCUCUGAUGAGAUCCCUGCUGACCCCGUUGACCGACGCCUUCCGUCUGCUGCUGGCCAAACUGGCCUCUGAGAGGGAGGAGGAGAGGCAGGCUGCGCUGGCCGACUGUCUGAGUCACGCUGUUGGCUUCGCUAGUCGUACCAGUAAGGCGUUCAGCAACAAACAGACAGUGAAGCAGUGUGGAUGUACUGAAGUCUACAGAGACUGUCUGCAGACCUUCCUGCCUGCACUGAGCUGUCCUGUCCAGAGGGGGUCUCUGCGUAGCGCUGUCCGCUCCUUCCUCCACCGCAUGAUCAUCUGUCUCGAAGAAGAGGUCCUGCCCUUCGUCCCUGCGGCAUCGGAACACAUGCUGAAGGACUGCGAGGCCAAGGACCUGCAGGAGUUUAUACCCCUCAUCAGUCAGAUCACCGCUAAGUUCAAGGACCAGGUGUCUCCGUUCCUGCAGCAGGUGUUCAUGCCUCUGGUCCUGGCCAUCUUUGAGGUGUUGUGUCGACCUGCUGAGGACAACGACCAGGCAGCAGCUCUGGAGAAACAAAUGUUACGUAGAAGCUACUUCACCUUCAUCCAGACGAUAACCUCCAGUGGGAUGAACGAAGUCCUGGCCAACCAGGGUGUUGAGAACGUAGAGCGGGUUCUGUUCACCAUCAUCCAGGGAGCUGUCGACUUCCCCGACCCCAUCGCCCAGAAGACCUGCUUCAUCAUCUUGUCCAAGCUGGUGGAACUCUGGGGAGGUAAAGACGGUAUGGCUGGUUUCCCAGACUUCAUCUAUAAACACAUCGUCCCAGCAUGCUUCCUGGCUCCUCUCAAACCAUCCUUUGAUCUCACAGACGCUCAGACCGUCCUGACGUUGUCAGAGUGUGCUCUGACGUUGAAAAUGAUUCAUCUCAGAAGGGGUCCGGAGUUUAUCCAGUACCUUCAACAGGAGUACCUCCCUUCUCUACAGGUGUCACCUGAAAUCACACAGGAAGUGUGUCAAGUGCUUCAGCAGCCAGAUGCCAAGGUCCUCAAAAACUACAUGAAGGCUUUCUUUCAGCGAGCCAAACUGUAAAUACGAACCGAGCUGGAAGGAUUGAGAGAGGACACUGGAAACUAAGAGAAGACUGGUAGUGAGAUAGUACCACUCACUACGGACAGCCGGACAGAGAGAGAGACGGACGGAGAGAGAUCUUAAAGACGGAGAGCUUAGCAUAGGAGCGGCCUUAGCACUUCUGAAGGUAACUGCAUAACCCCGCCCAUCCUGUCCACGCGGGAGGGAACGGAGCCAAGACACAAGGACACGAGUGGUCAAGGAGGCUUUCACUGGGGUGACCACACCCCCCUCCACUGAUCCAGGCCCAAUCAAGGACGUGCUCUCCAUCUGGGGUGGUACCCUGGUCAAGUGAAGAUGUGAUUGGUUGGAUUCUCUGCAAGACAGGAAGUAAACUAGAGUAUAGAGGAAGGCUUAUGGAACAAGGCUUCCAUAGUAGAAUACCAAGUAUCCUUGAACAGGCCUGAGGCCUCAUCUGUCUGUUGGUAAUGAUCCAACAAUGACCUGAACACAAUCUAACGAUUAGGAUUUAUUCCUUUAGAAACAGGUAUUUGUUUUCAAGAUGUCUUUCAUUGGAGUGGUUGAACGUGGAGGUUUUGUUUCUCUUUGCCCUGUGAAUGAAUUGAUGGACUAAAUAAAAGGGCUGACUUGACAUGUUUUUCUACGUUUUUCUGUUGUGGAAGAAAUGGGAUGGUUGGGGUAGGAUGUGUUUUAGUUUGACGAGACGUACAGGACAGACCUCUAGCGGUGGAUGACAGACCUCUGUAACGGUGGAUGACAGACCUCUGUAACGGUGGAUGACAGACCUCUGUAACGGUGGAUGACAGACAGGACAGACCUCUGUAACGGUGGAUGACAGACAGGACAGACCUCUAGCGGUGGAUGACAGACAGGACAGACCUCUAGCGGUGGAUGACAGACCUCUGUAACGGUGGAUGACAGACCUCUGUAACGGUGGAUGACAGACCUCUGUAACGGUGGAUGACAGACCUCUGUAACGGUGGAUGACAGACCUCUGUAACGGUGGAUGACAGACCUCUGUAACGGUGGAUGACAGACCUCUGUAACGGUGGAUGACAGACAGGACAGACCUCUGUAACGGUGGAUGACAGACCUCUGUAACGGUGGAUGACAGACCUCUGUAACGGUGGAUGACAGACCUCUGUAACGGUGGAUGACAGACCUCUGUAACGGUGGAUGACAGACCUCUGUAACGGUGGAUGACAGACCUCUGGUUUAUUCUGCAUUUACUUUACCUUCUGUUCCAGUUUUAAGGUGCCCCUGUCCCUCAGAACGUUGUCAGGUACCCCCGUCCCUCAGAACGUUGUCAGGUGCCCCUGUCCCUCAGAACGUUGUCAGGUGCCCCUGUCCCUCAGAAUGUUGUCAGGUGCCCCUGUCCCUCAGAACGUUGUCAGGUACCCCUGUCCCUCAGAACGUUGUCAGGUACCCCUGUCCCUCAGAACGUUGUCAGGUGCCCCUGUCCCUCAGAACGUUGUCAGGUACCCCUGUCCCUCAGAACGUUGUCAGGUACCCCUGUCCCUCAGAACGUUGUCAGGUACCCCUGUCCCUCAGAACGUUGUCAGGUACCCCUGUCCCUCAGAACGUUGUCAGGUACCCCUGUCCCUCAGAACGUUGUCAGGUGCCCCUGUCCCUCAGAACGUUGUCAGGUGCCCCUGUCCCUCAGAACGUUGUCAGGUGCCCCUGUCCCUCAGAACGUUGUCAGGUACCCCUGUCCCUCAGAACGAUGUGAGGUGCCCCUGUCCCUCAGAACGUUGUCAGGUACCCCUGUCCCUCAGAACGUUGUCUGGUACCCCUGUCCCUCAGAACGUUGUCAGGUACCCCUGUCCCUCAGAACGUUGUCAGGUACCCCUGUCCCUCAGAACGUUGUCAGGUUGUCCCUCAGAACAUUGUCAGGAUGUCUUGAACGUCAGGGCCUCUAUUCAUGGUGUUUCGGUAGGAGUGCUGAUGGAGGAUGUUAUGAAUAAGAAGAGGUCGGACUAGAUCAGAUAUGCAUUAUGAACUCAAGCCCUGAACAAGGUUCUCCUCUACCCUCAGUCCCCUCAGACAGAAUAGGACCUGCCCUGAACAAGGUUCUCCUCUACCCUCAGUCCCCUCAGACAGAAUAGGACCUGCCCUGAACAAGGUUCUCCUCUACCCUCAGUCCCCUCAGACAGAAUAGGACCUGCCCUGAACAAGGUUCUCCUCUACCCUCAGUCCCCUCAGGGUGACUGAGUGAAGUCAUCCACUCUGCCCUCAGUCCCCUCAGGGGGGUGUGUGACUGAGUGAAGUCAUCCACUCUGCCCUCAUUCCCCUCAGGGGGGUGUGUGACUGAGUGAAGUCAUCCACUCUGCCCUCAGUCCCCUCGGGGGGGGGGGUGACUGAGUGAAGUCAUCCACUCUGCCCUCAGUCCCCUCAGGGGGGGGUGUGACUGAGUGAAGUCAUCCACUCUGCCCUCAGUCCCCUUGGGGGGGGGGGGGGGGGGUGUGACUGAGUGAAGUCAUCCACUCUGCCCUCAGUCCCCUCAGGGGGGGGGUGUGACUGAGUGAAGUCAUCCACUCUGCCCUCAGUCCCCUCAGGGGGGGGUGUGACUGAGUGAAGUCAUCCACUCUGCCCUCAGUCCCCUUGGGGGGGGGGGGGUGUGACUGAGUGAAGUCAUCCACUCUGCCCUCAGUCCCCUCGGGGGGGGGGGGGGACUGAGUGAAGUCAUCCACUCUGCCCUCAGUCCCCUCAGGGGGGGGUGUGACUGAGUGAAGUCAUCCACUCUGCCCUCAGUCCCCUCAGGGGGGUGUGUGACUGAGUGAAGUCAUCCACUCUGCCCUCAUUCCCCUCAGGGGGGUGUGUGACUGAGUGAAGUCAUCCACUCUGCCCUCAUUCCCCUCAGGGGGGUGUGUGACUGAGUGAAGUCAUCCACUCUGCCCUCAGUCCCCUCGGGGGGGGGGGGGGUGACUGAGUGAAGUCAUCCACUCUGCCCUCAACAGGAGAACUCUGGACCAGACUGACUAGCGGAGUGUUUACCCCGGUGGUCGUUACGACAACGUCACUUCCAGAAGGAAGUGGCGGAUCAAAAUGUAAAUGUUAUGUUUUAUUUUAAAGAAGGAAUAAUAUGUUGGGAUGUAAAUAAAUUAGUUUGAUGGUU